GAUGAACGCUAGCGGGAGGCCUAACACAUGCAAGCCGAGCGGUAUUGUUUCUUCGGAAAUGAGAGAGCGGCGUACGGGUGCGGAACACGCGUGCAACCUGCCUUUAUCUGGGGGGAUAGCCUUUCGAAAGGAAGAUUAAUACUCCAUAAUAUAUUGAUUGGCAUCAAUUAAUAUUGAAAGCUCCGGCGGAUAGAGAUGGGCACGCGCAAGAUUAGCAGUUGGUGAGGUAACGGCUCACCAAGGCGAUGAUCUUUAGGGGGCCUGAGAGGGUGACUCCCCCACACUGGUACUGAGACACGGACCAGACUCCUACGGGAGGCAGCAGUGAGGAAUAUUGG
rnacentral:rRNA from 1 species